UGAUGUAUUUUAAAGUCGUGCGAGCCUAGGCCUAAACUAGUGGGUUGGGAAGUUAGAGGGGUCUCUCGGGCCUUGAUGGUUUAGGAUACCCAUCACGGCUAGGGCCUCAGGUCGGGUCAUGAUAGAAUGGUAUCAGAGCCGCUCCUGUACCAACCAUGUUGAUGUGGGCCAGAGCUCAAACUGAGUAUAGGUGAAUCCCGGUAAGGCGGGGUAAACCUCAGUCCUGAGUGUAGGGCAAAUCUCAGUAAGGAUGCUGAGUUCAUAAGAGAGGUGAAUGUAA
rnacentral:lncRNA from 1 species